GACAGAGGUGCCGAGCGUUAGGCGGAAUCACUGGGCUUAAAGCGUGUGUAGGCGGAUCGUUAAGUAUCUUGUGAAAUCCCACGGCUCAACCGUGGAACUGCUGGGUAUACUGGCGAUCUUGAGCAACCUAGGGGCAGACGGAACAAGUGGUGGAGCGGUGAAAUGCGUAGAUAUCACUUGGAACGCCGACGGUGAAAACAGUCUGCUGGGGGUUUGCUGACGCUGAGACACGAAAGCCAGGGGAGCGAACGGG
rnacentral:rRNA from 1 species